UGGGGAAUUUUGGACAAUGGGCGAAAGCCUGAUCCAGCAAUGCCGCGUGUGUGAAGAAGGCCUUCGGGUUGUAAAGCACUUUUGUCCGGAAAGAAAUCCUUGGCUCUAAUACAGUCGGGGGAUGACGGUACCGGAAGAAUAAGCACCGGCUAACUACGUGCCAGCAGCCGCGGUAAUACGUAGGGUGCAAGCGUUAAUCGGAAUUACUGGGCGUAAAGCGUGCGCAGGCGGUUUGCUAAGACCGAUGUGAAAUCCCCGGGCUCAACCUGGGAACUGCAUUGGUGACUGGCAGGCUAGAGUAUGGCAGAGGGGGGUAGAAUUCCACGUGUAGCAGUGAAAUGCGUAGAGAUGUGGAGGAAUACCGAUGGCGAAGGCAGCCCCCUGGGCCAAUACUGACGCUCAUGCACGAAAGCGUGGGGAGCAAACAGGAUUAGAUACCCUGGUAGUCCACGCCCUAAACGAUGUCAACUAGUUGUUGGGGGAUUCAUCUCCUUAGUAACGUAGCUAACGCGUGAAGUUGACCGCCUGGGGAGUACGGUCGCAAGAUUAAAACUCAAAUGAAUUGACGGGGUCAUAGCUGUUUCCU
rnacentral:rRNA from 1 species